rnacentral:lncRNA from 1 species
AUUCUUUGUGAGAACUGGUGGUGGCAUGAAAUGUAAUUGCUACAGUAAACUGAAUCCAAAGUCAAUCUGUACGUAUAAGGAAAUUAUAUAUGGGAAGCUAGCUGUUCCCAUAUGUAAUAGUUAUGGGAAGCUACCACACGUACAUACUCAAUUGCAUUGCAUGAUUAUAUAGCAAAUAUUCUCUAGAUUUGGUAGUAUCAACAUUAUAUCC